rnacentral:rRNA from 1 species
UACCUACGGGAGGCAGCAGUGAGGAAUAUUGGUCAAUGGUCGGGAGACUGAACCAGCCAAGCCGCGUGAGGGAUGAAGGUACAGAGUAUCGUAAACCUCUUUUGUCAGGGAACAAAGGCGGGGACGUGUCCCCGGAUGAGUGUACCCGGAGAAAAAGCAUCGGCUAACUCCGUGCCAGCAGCCGCGGUAAUACGGAGGAUGCGAGCGUUAUCCGGAUUUAUUGGGUUUAAAGGGUGCGCAGGCGGGCUGUUAAGCCGGCGGUAAAAAUUCAGGGCCCAACCCUGUCCAGCC